ACUCCUACGGGAGGCAGCAGUGAGGAAUAUUGCGCAAUGGGCGAAAGCCUGACGCAGCGACGCCGCGUGGGGGAUGAAGGUUCUCGGAUUGUAAACCCCUUUCGUGAGGAAAGAGAAAGUGGGUAACCAUUUAGACGGUACCUCAAGAAGAAGCCACGGCUAACUUCGUGCCAGCAGCCGCGGUAAUACGAAGGUGGCGAGCGUUGUUCGGAUUUACUGGGCGUAAAGAGCACGUAGGCGGUUAGGUAAGCCUCUUGGGAAAGCUCCCGGCUCAACCGGGAAAGGUCGAGGGGAACUACUUAGCUAGGGGACGGGAGAGGAGCGCGGAAUUCCCG
rnacentral:rRNA from 1 species